AUGGGGAGUGUCCACUUUCAGUUUUUAGCUCAUUUCAAGUUACUUCCACGACGUUACAUAUAGAAGCUGAUACCCGUUUUGUCAUUGAAGUUUGUUUUGAUGAUUGUUAUUACUGGUGGUGGCUUUUGCAUCUCUGCACAAAACAUUAUGUUCUUGUAUACAGAAAGAGGCUUAUAGCUUCAGACAACUCCUCCGGUCUCCUGACACAGUGGAGGAGCUGCAUCACAUUCUGGAACCAGAGCAUCUAAAGGCUCCAAGCAGCUCACCUGGGAUGCAGGCCUCAGGCAGGAGAGACACUUGUCAGUGGUGGAGCACUUGGUCUGCUGCCAUGAACUGCCAUAUGAGGGUGUGUCGGCUGGGUGAGGAGCUCCUGCCCUCUAUGCUCUAUGUAUGGAGACAGAUGAGGCGCAGCAGCACUCUCAAAGAGGAGAUAGUAGAGUUAUUCAACCUGCAGCUCUGUGUACAUCAUCUCAAGGGUCAAAUACACAAGACACAGGAGCCUAUGCUGAGGACUGGGCCAAAUGGCAGAGUCUACUCUAUAACCUCUAUGAUGCCCUGGUGACUGAGAUCAGCCAGAUUGGGAGCCGGGAGAAAUAUGCCACAGGGUUGCGCCACAUUGCUGUGAAGGAGAACCUUAUUGAGCUAACUGGAGACAUCAGAUGAUAAAUCUAAGAUCCUUAAUUUUCACAUCUUGACUUAAUUUACCAUUUCCAGGCUAAAACCUGAGCUGUGCUGACAUAGUUCACCUGUCUUUAAGAUGGUUUUGGUAUUGUUGGUCUCAUCUUCAUGUUUUGGGUGUUUGACUGAUUCUUAGCUCUAUAGCGAAGAUUGUAACCUUCAGAUUCUGGAUGUGACUCAGGCCCACCUCAGAGCCACCCAGAGAGGAAGUCCCCAGGGCACGCCCAGCAAGUGCAGACACAUCGAGCUGGGCUGGGAGGUUCUACGAGACCACCUGCAGCCACACCAUCAUACCAUGGUGAGAAAAGACUAUCACACCAAGGUUCAGUGCUCAUUAACUUGCCAAAUAUACUUAUAUUUAGUGCAGUCAAACUCUUCAUAUCUCAAUAUCCUCUGUGUUCCCCUACUCAACAAUACAAUGCUCCUAUAUAAGCUACAGAUGACAUUAGUGUUGACCUCUAAGUACCCCUCCAUCGUGCCUGGCUAGGAGCUGGUUCCUCUGCUGUCAUGUCAUAUAAAGUCACUUCCUCAACAUUUGAUUUACUAAUUUACUCUUUGCAAAUUACAGUGCAUUGUGCUUUUAACUCUGAAUGACCAUUUCAAUGUCUGUCUGUGUGCAGUGUUGCUGAUCUGUGUUUGGCCCAGAUCCUUCUCAAGGUCCUGUUCCUAAGCUUGGGCACUGGGUGGGACCAUGCAGGGCCGUGGAGGGGGUCGGGCCCCCCAGCAUCAAGGAGAACAUCAUGAGCUGGCUGCUGAUGAACGAACAGAGUGAAGAGGCAGAGGAGAGCUCAAGAUCACACCCUAUCAUCUGCAGUGGGCAGUUUAUCACUGGGCUCAUAUCUCAUUUUUAUUCACGCUUAACCGCUCUGCUAGUGUUGUCUAAUUGGGAUUAUUUUGCCUUGAUACAAUGUUUUAUGUCUGUAAUUGUUUUAACACAUCCCUAAUACAAGUUUGUGUCUUAUUCCUCUUUGCCCAGGGAUUUUCCUCACAACCUAAUUCGCAGAAUCCUUGUGCCUUUGACCCUCAAAGACACCCGAGCUGGCCUUAUGUUUCUCCUCGGAGCAAAGGAACUUGAGAGGCUGUUCUUGGAGAUGACACCGGACAGCGGACACCGGACAUGCUUCCUCUGAAAUGCCAGCAGACAGCCUUUGAGAACGUCUACCUGAAAGCCUAAGAAGGGAUGAGGCUCCAGAAGAGCAGCUCUCCUGAAUACCUGAAUGACGAGACAUUUAACCGCAAGGCCACGCUGCUGAAGAAUGUGUCGGUGGUGCUGUGCUGCAGCCCCGUCUGUGAGAAACAGUCCCUCUUCGCCCUCUUCCAGUCCAACAAGGAGAACAACAUAGAGGAGCCACUCAUCAAAGAGCUAAGGGCAAAUCAUUUGGCUACACGUAUUUACAGUCUCAUAAGGUUAAACUGAAAGCACUUUAUAGUGUAGGUGGAUAACUCAGCCUUUCCACCGUCACUACAUACAGUAUCGCUGUCUGACUACUAUCAGUAUGCUAUGAUAUUGACAGACUGAAUGUUAACCUGGUUUGUCCCUCACCCCAUGUAGAUCCUGGGCAGUGAGUCCAGAGUUCUGGGCUACAGAAGUGUGGAGGGGUUUGUUAGCUCUCACCUGGAUUACCUGGUGGCAGAGGGGCUGGGCUAGCCUGGCUAUACCCUGGAGUCCUUCUCCUACACCCUGCUCAAUCACCCCACUCUCUUCUACAGCAAAUCUACUGCCUGAUUCACAGUAACCUGGCGGACAUUGUGGUGGAGCUGUUGAUGACCCUGUAUGAUGGGCUGCUACUGAGGAGGGCAGAGGGGACCUGAGGAGGGAACUGGACCCAGCCCCAAUCCCACCCUCUUUCAGCUCCAAUGUUAUCAAAGCCACACUGGACUACUUCAGCAAAUGUCACAGUGCCAGUCACCAGUCGUCCCUGGUGGCCAUUUUAUCCAGGACACUGAUCUCCAUCCAGAGGAUCCUGCUGGCGGUGUGUCAGAAGGCAGCUGAGACGAUCAAUGCCUACGAGAGGAUCCCAGGGCAGUGAUUGGAGACAUUAGCCUGUGUAGUGUGCUGGUUUUCCUGACUCUCUGUGGUCACUAAAAGAUCCCAUGGAAUGUAAGAGUAGGGGUGUUAACCCUGGUGUCCUGGCGAAAUUCCCAAUCUGGUUCUCAUACCCUCAUGGCCACCUAAUCAUCCCCUGCUUCCAAUUGGCUCAUUCAUCCCCACUCCUUUCCCAUUUAACUAUUCCCCAGGUCGUUGCUGUAAAUUAUGUGUUCUCAGUCAACUUAUGUGGUAAAAUAAGAGUUAAAUCAAAUAAAACACAACCACUUUCCAAAUGA